UACAGAGGUCUCAAGCGUUGUUCGGAUUCAUUGGGCGUAAAGGGUGCGUAGGUGGCGAGGUAAGUUGGAUGUGAAAUCCCAGGGCUCAACCCUGGAACUGCAUUCAAUACUGCCUUGCUAGAGUACUGGAGAGGAGAUUGGAAUUUACGGUGUAGCAGUGAAAUGCGUAGAUAUCGUAAGGAAGACCAGUGGCGAAGGCGGAUCUCUGGACAGUUACUGACACUGAGGCACGAAGGCCAGGGGAGCAAACGGG
rnacentral:rRNA from 1 species